rnacentral:lncRNA from 1 species
UCUUCUCGGAGAUGGUGACGGGGCGGCCGCUGUUCCCCGGCUCCUCGGUGCCCGAGCAGCUGCGCGUCAUCUUCCAGGCGCUGGGCACGCCCUCCGAGUCCUCCUGGCCCGGGAUUGGCUCCAACCCCGAGUUCCGCAGCCACCGCUUCCCCACCUACCAGCCGGGGGGGCUGGGACCCCACAGCAGGCUGGACCCCGUGGGCGCC